rnacentral:misc_RNA from 1 species
UAUAAACGUUUCAUUCGGUAAAUGGCAAGCAUAAAAAUCUUGACAGAAGAUACGCACAAUCAUUAUGAGCUUUUAGAAGAAGAUAUAUUAGAGUAUGCUAAACAGAUUGGAAUAGAUGUGGAAAAUGAAAAGCAUUUGAUGUGGAUUGCUGAAGAAGGUCUUGCUGCGAAAGUUCCUGAGCCUUGGUUGAUUCUAUCUGAUGAUAAAGAUAGAAUCUUCUACUAUAACAAAAAUACUGGUGAAACAUCUUGGCUUCAUCCUUUAGAUAAAGAAUACUCUGCCUUAGUGUCUGAAGAAAGAACACGAAGCAAAAGUCUACUGUCUUCAUCUUCAGACUGUGGAUUUGAGUCUAAGUUAUCCUCUCUUGCUGAUGCUCCUCCUCUGUCAUCAAGUGGGAAAAAUACACCAUCCUCUUUUAAGUCCAGCCAGAAUGAAAAUGCUUCCUCAAGGAGCAAAAAAAUUGAAUUGGGACACUUUGAAAAUAGGCGUGGUACUCAGUUAGCACCUGUACGAUUGAACAACUUAAAAAUGCCUGUGUCUAGCUCACAGAAGUCUGGUACUGGUAUGUCUUUCAUGCCUAAGGGAUCUGCUCUGUCUAAAAAUAUUAGACGUGCUAAGGAAGUGCCUGCUCACAAUGACAGUGUUUUAGAAGAGGAAAAAAACAAAAGUUUUUCAAUGCAUGGAGAUUAUAAUGAAAGUGAAAAUUCAGAUGAUGGUUCGAAAUAUUCAUAUGAGGAAACAGAUUAUGAAGAAGAAAAAGAUCCUCAUGGCCUAGACCCAUAUGAUCUUGGAGAUGGAUCACAGUUAUCUCCCAUAUAUUCAGCUGAUGAGUCUCCUGAGGCCUUUGAUAUAAAUUCCCUAGUUCAGCUAGGAAUUAAAGGACCGUCUAAACUUGAUGUUCCGUCCAAAUCUUCAAAGCUUUUAAUGAACAAUGAAACCUCUCCAUCGCUAAGUUUACGAAAGAUGGGACAGCCAUCAUUUCUGAAACCUUUGCAAUCAACAGCAAAAAAGAAAACUGAAAAAAAUUCAAAAAGUGUGAAAAAAGGAAAUGCUGGUAUAAGUAAAUAUGAAGAAAAUCCGAGAGAUAUUGGAGAUAUUGAAAGUAAAAUAUCCACUAUAAAUGAAGAGCAGAAGGUAAUUUUAGAGAGUAUCCAAAGAGAGUGGGCAGCUAUGCAAGAGGAAUUAGAAAAAGAAGAAAAAGCCAAAUAUGAGCAAAUGGUCAAUGAGAGUACUAAAAAAUUAGAAGAGGAAGAAAUGAAAAUGAGGAAAGAAAAUUCAGCAAAAUUAUCUGAAUUAAAGAAUGAACUUUCAAAAAAACUGAAAGAUGAAGAAAAUGUUAGUGAAAAGAACCUUGAGGAACUUAAGAGGGCCAACCAGGUAAAGUACAGUGAAGAGGAGCAGAAGUUUAAAAAGGAACUUGAAACCCUUUCUGAGAGCUUGAAAGCAGAAAUGGAGAAAAUGGAAGAAAAAAACACUUCAGAGAUUAAUGAAAGAAGGAAGGAAUUAGAAGAUCAGCUGGAAACAGAAACUGAGGAACUCAAAAGAUUGCAUGAAAUUAAUCUAAAAAAUCUCAAAGAAUCUCAGGCUGCUGAACUUUCUAUGCUUGAAAAGGCUCACCAAGAAGAACUGAUAAAAAUUAAAGCUGCUGUUUCAAAAGAAAGCACUGAAGUUAGCAUUGAAGUGGAAGAAAAAGAAGUACCUAAGAUAGAGGCUUUACAACAAGAAGAUGACAAAAUACAGAAAUUACUAGCAGAAUUGGAAGAAAAAUAUCGGAGUUUGUCAAAGGAAUAUGAUACAUUAACAAUGAAAGUUAGUGCUGAAAAAGAACUUUUAUCAAAAUUGAAUGAAGAUACUACUGCAGCUCGAAGUCGUUAUGAAGAAAUUCAAGACGAAGUUGAAAAAGCAGAAAGUGAUUUGGAUAAUUUAAUGUCAGAAAAAUCUGCCUUGAUUUCUGAAUUAAAUAUUCUGAAAGAUAAUAUCAAUAAUGAAAAAUCAAAUUUGCAGAAUUUAGAACAAAAAAUUGUGGCAUCAAAUAGUGGAAAAUGUGGGAAUUCCAAUAAAUUUGUUGAUAGCAGUGUAAAUACCACACUUCUGUGUCUUGCCUCUUUGUGCCAAUUUACCCAGACUUCUGUUGAUUGCAAAGAUGCAUCUAGUCAAAUAAAUUGUAUUGAAAUAUUUAAAACAGAUAUUUCCUGCCAGACAACUGAUGAAAAACAUUUCAUGGCUGAUAAGAAAUGCCAGGUAGAAUUAGUGCCUUGUAUAGAAAACACUACAAAUAUAACUAAAAAUGAAAGUGUUUUUACCAAUGUGGGGGAAAAUUUUAAUGUUGAUAAAGCUAAUAAUAAAAUUCUUGAAAGUGCCUUAAAUGGAAUUGGUAAACAAAUGGAAUCAAGAAUUAAAAAUAUUGAAGAGCAACUAAUAUUCUUGCAAGAAAAGUUAACUCCAAUCAACACCAGUCAGUCUUUCAAAUCGUUCAAUCCACCCAAACACUCAGAUUUCACAGAAGUGAAAUAUCAGCCUAACCCACCGGAUGUAAAUAUUCUUCACGAUCUUGCAACAGAUAAAGUAUCUCCACCACCAUCUUCCAGCAAGAUUCCAUCUUCUAAUCCUGUGCCUAGACAAAGUAAAUGCAUGUGUGAAGAUGGAGAUCCUGAAUCUUGUGAAGUAAUGCAAGCGGUCAAAAAUUCUGUUUAUCAACUGAAUGAUGUUCUUAAUCUGAGUUUUGAUCCCACAUUUCAUACCAGUAGUUUGGUAUAUGGAUUUAGUCCUUUUUCAUAUUCUAGUCCAGUUGAAAGUUUUUAUGUCCAGUUUCAAAAGCUACAAGCAAAGCAUCGUAUUACAGAACUGAAGCAUCAGUGUGAAAACCAAACCAUGAAACAGUUUAAAGGCUCCUCAAGUGAAACAAGCAAAACCUCAACAAGCAAACCAUCUGAAAAUGAUUUUAUUCGAUCAUCACUUUAUACUCCACAUUUCAAUCAAAAUUUACUAAAAAAAGAUGAUGAUGUUCUAGCAAGAGCUCAAAAUAUUGUAUUAAGAGAACAAGCUAGAUCAAAGAAACAGCAACAACAGUUUAUGGAACCAUCUGUUUCUGAAAAUCUUUUACAUCCUGAAAGACAUAUUAUGGCAACUGACAAUUUUUCUCAAUCAGUGCAAUUCAAUGUAUCAAGAUCUUUUGGUGGCUUACCCUCAUCUUUUUUAAAUUUUGCUAUACAUUUGAAGGAUGGAAGAGGAAUAGUGGACUAUAUGUUACUAGAAAGAUAAGCUGAGAUGAAUAAGUAUACAAUAUGCAUGUUAAUGAGGAAUAGUUACAUUAUUAUUCUGCUUUAUUUCAAUCAGGUGGUUUUGGUUUGGGCUUUUUUUACAGAACUGGAUCCUGAGACCGAUUAUAAUAGAUGGAUGGCAAGAUUAAAUGCUCUUCAGCAGAAAAUAAGAAGCCAUAAGAUGUUUUAAUAUUUUUUAUGAGAACAUGACAAAAUGAACACUUUGUUUUUGAAAAUGAAUAAAUUAAAAUAACACUGAAAAUAUGGCAUAGGACGUGGGAAUAUAAAUAGGCAAUAAAUAUCCAAAAUAAUAUUUAUGAUUAAAUAGAAUAUUUUUUUUUAAAUAAGGGUAUAAAAUAUUACCCAUUUUUGCAUAUCUUUUUGUGAAUUCUCGCUUAAUUAAGUGUAUUUUAGGAAGAUUAUUUGAAUUUUUUUUAAAACUUCUGUUGCUGAUAUUUUGUGUAUAGAAUAAUGUCUAGUCAUUUAGUGGCAAGAAAUAAAUUAUUUAUUUUUCUAAUUUUGAUACAAGAAUUUGUUAAUUGGGAAAAAAGUUUAUAAAAAGUGUAUAAAUGUAUAUGUAAAUAUAAGAAUUUUCCUUUGAAAAUUGAUUUUAAAUUUGUGUAUUUAUUUACAAAUUACCUGAUAAAAUCAUAAGUAUUGUGCUUCAUAAAAAUCAAAUGAUUAAUAUGUAACAUAGAUUGGUGUUAAAUAAAAAUCUUUUGUUAUGAUUUAAUAUCCAUCCUAUGCAAUUAACUUUUUGCAUGGUAUUAUUUUUUGUGAAGCUAAAUGCAAAAUGUUACUUUAUAAAAAUUAAAAUGGAUAAAAAAUCAUUUGCUAUUUCAAAUUUAUCUUCAUUUUCUUAAAAGGUAAUUCAUAGUGUUACCUUUUUUUCAUUUUAAAUGAAGCUAUUUUAAAUAAUCUAAUCAUGUAAUUAUGCAUUUUAUGUAAAAUAUAAUAUUUAUUCUUUUUUUUUAUUUUCAUAAAUGAAAAUAUAUGUAACAUAUUAUACAUAGCUUUCUAGCAUACAUAAAUAUCAAAUAAUGUUCAAAAUUUGCAUUUGUAAGUGAAUAUUUUUAUAAUCCAUACUGACAUUUAUUAUUAUUAAGAUUUUAUUCUUUCAAUGUUUCAUAUGUACACAUUAAGUAAAAUAGAUAUUGUUAGGUGAUAAGUUUUGUGAUGGAUUAUACUUUUAAUAUAAAAAGAGUGAAAAUAUAUCUUGUUGCACAGAUUGUUCCAUUGUGUUAUAUAUUUGCUUUCUUGUUAUUGAUUUUCUUUUUAAUGAAGAGAAGGGGUUGUAUGUAAGAGUGCAUUAAAAUAUUUAUCUGAUU